ensembl:lncRNA
CUAAGGGACAUCUCUUGGGGCCUAUGGAUAAGGAGCAUCCCCGGUUGCAAGCGUAGGGUUGUAAGUUUGUAGGGUUCAGUGGGGCAGCUUGGCAGUGACACAGAGAGGCUGAGGGAGGGCUUCAGAGGUCAAGGGCUCGAGGGCUGGAGACAAACAGAAAAUAAAAGGGGUAUAGGUUGGGAUAUAAGGCAGAGUACAGGACUAUUCAAACCCUAAACAGUAGCCCUAACAGCGCUCCUGUUUCCUUGAGACAGCUGCAGGCAGGAACCCUAAAGCAGCAGAGUGCCAGAACCCCCGAGAGGUGCAGGCAGACCCCUAGUGCUAGGGCCAGCCAGGAAGAGAUAGUGGGGGGACGAUCCACAGGGUUGGGGAAACAGGGGGUUUCCCGCCCCGCCCCACCCUGGGCUCUCUGUCCCUCCGCAGCCGGGGAUUGCUCCCACCCCUCCUCGAGGCGGCGGUUGGUAAGGCUUCGUGCCUGGCCUCCGCAAAGAGUUCGGCUCUGUCAGCCUCUGCCCUGUCUCAGGGCCAAACUUAGCUGCAGGCAGGAACCCUAAAGCAGCAGAGUGCCAGAACCCCCGAGAGGUGCAGGCAGUUCCCUGGUGCUAGGGCCAGCCAGGAAGCGAUAGUGAGUGCUCGGGCCUACUGCUGUCAUAUAAGCUGGGGUUUCUAUCCUUGGGGUAUCCUGGGCUCCCUGUCCCUCACUGACUGGAGAGUCUUCCUCCCCUCCUUGAGGUGGUGGUCAUUUGGCUGUCAGCCAAUACUGCUGUGAAGCAAGCCUCUGCCUCCCUGUGGGGUGAAGUGUGCAGCCCAUGAACCUGGGCAUUCUCUAGAGAAGGUAAGUGCUGGGUUUUCACAGAUGUGCCACUAAGAUCCUGCAUUGAUAUUUGGUCUUCUUGGUUGUAGCUGACCAGGAGACGACAACCUGGCAAUGGCAGGAACUUCCCAGAUGGCGAGGAGGCCUUCCUUCGCACCCCAUGUGGAUCCACCCCAGCAAGCAUCCGAGAGCUGAGUCGAAGGCUACGACCCGCAGAGGGGAUGAAAGCGGGGUGCCGGGUCAGGGCUCGUGACCUGGGAUUUUUGAGUCAGCUUUGGGGACGCGGAGGUCCAGGCUGUGGCCCCUUAGGCCGCACAGUGGGAGAGCCUCACUUUUGUUCACAGUGCUGAGGUGUGCAGGACAGAGCAGCCUCGGGGCGCGUCGUGUCACUUGUCCGUCGUGCCUUCUGUGUCUUUUGUGCCUCUUGUGUUGUACGUGCCUUGCCCUAUCUCUUCUGGGGGCUUACCAGAAACCCCAGCAUCACUUAUAGCAUCUCCAAUCUCUGGGCUCCUCGGCUCGGCUGCUCUCAGAGGCCUUGGAAUCGCGUCUCUUUUGAAAAGCAUCCGAUCGGAUGUCUUUUAGAUGUUUUCUUCCGAGCUGUGUCAACAGCCGUGCGCCGCGAGGAUCCAUUGUUGCGGCUUAGGACUUGAAGAAACGCAAAGAUAGGUAGGGGACUGCGGCCCUAAGAUUCUUGAGCAUCUGUCUUGGCAGUUCCUGGAGUUAAUUGUUCCAUCAGCAUC